rnacentral:RNase_P_RNA from 1 species
UUGGGCGUGAGGCAAAGUCCGGGCUCCGCCGGAAAAAAUGCCGGAUAAUUACCGGGGGAAGGACGGCAGUUGCAAGCUUCGCCUUGCGAUUUUUGCAUAACCCGUCGUUCCACAGACAGCGCAACAGAAAACAUACCGCAUUUUUUGCGCAAGCGAAAAUUGUAAGGGUGAAAAGGCGGCGUAAGAGACCACCGGGCGCUUGGCAACAGGCGCCGCAUUGCAAGCCUCAUUUGGAGCAAGGUCAAGAAGCGGCUGUUUUUCCGGAACAUAAGCCGCGGGUAGACCGCUAAAGUUUUUGGGCGACCAAGAACUCGGAUAGAUGGUUAUGGCUAUGAUUUUUCAUAGUUGCCAGAACCCGGCUUACGGUUUCU